UCUCGUUUCUAUUUUUUCGACCAAACCCUGAGCCUCUCCGGGCAACGGUUCCGGCUACAGAGGCGAUCAAAGUUUUUCACUAAAAAAAUUCAUAAAAAAAAAACUAAAAGUCGUAGAGCAUUGCGGUUUGUUCGAUUGAAUUCUACGGCUCAUUUUACAUAUUAUAUCGAUUUUUCACAAGAAUUAGAAAUUUAAAAUUUUUUGCCUAAAUUUAGGGUGGCCAUUUGUCUUAGUGAAAAAUUUUAUUCAUUAAAAAAAUUCAUAACUCGAAUAAAAGUCGUAGAGCAGUGCGGUUUGUUCCGUUGGAUUCAGCGGCUUUUUUUCUCUAUUAUACUAAUUUUUCACGCAAUUUAAAAUUUUCAAUUUUUUUGCUCAAAUUUCACCUUCAAAGAGGUGAAAAAAAAUAUUUUUUUUAAACUCACUCCAGUAGAUUUUUAUGGACUCUACAUGUCUUAACAACCCACAAAAGUUGUUAGAAGUCCACAAAAAGUCCAUAUGUUCGAUUUUUUGAUGUUUGAUUUUUUCAAUUUUCGUCGCAGUUUUUGUCGAUUUUGGGUACCCGGAACAUUUCUCGAGCAAUAGCUCCGGAACUAUUCGAGAUAACCCCAUGAAGUGUAGCAUCGUUGGAAAGCCCUUUUAAUGAUCUAUCAUUUGCAAAAAAGAUUAUUGUUGUCCGACUUAUAGUUUUCGAGAGAAUGCAAAUAAAAGCGAAAAUUAGAUCAUAUACUCAAAAAUUCAUAACUAAAAAACUAUUAGGAAUUUGGCAAUUUUCUUGAUGCCAAUCGAUUCCCCGGAUUAUUUUGCAUAGGUAUGGAUCAAAAUAGUUCCACUUUUUAGAAUAGUUUAGCCGUAAAUGAGAAAAUAAAAAAAAUAAAAAAAAUUUUACACCCCCCCGUUAGAAAUUUUUAAAAAUUUUUAAAGUGUCUCAAAAUCAAAUGAAACCGAUUCUAUCUUAUAGAUUUUGAUGUGCUCUUUCCGAUCUAAAAAAGCGUUUUCUUCUAGCUUUUUUAAUUUGGGCGUAAUCGGCGUUUGAAAAUUGAAAAUUUUUUUGGCGAGAAAUCGCUUUGAGUCCUAUGCCAUUUUGUAGAGUUUUUUAUUCCGGUUAUUCUCCAUUUUUCCGUUUCUCGAUAACUCUAAUAGUUUCGCCGUAAUUUUUUUUUCACCUCUUUGAAGGUAAGUGUAUUACUCAGGAAAUUUUAGCAAAAAAACUGAAAAUUUUAAAUCUCGUGAAAAGUUGGUAUAACACAGAAAAUGAGCCGCUGAAUUCAAUGGAACAAACCGCAUUGCUCUACGACUUUUAGUUUUCGAGUUAUGAAUUUUUUUGUUGAAUAAAACUUUUCACAAAAAAUUUUAAAUUUUUAAUUUUUGUGAAAAAUUGAUAUAAUAUGUAGAAUGAGCUGUAGAAUUCAAUGGAACAAACCGCAAUGCUCUACAACUUUUAGUUUUUUUUUUUUGAAUUUUUUUAAUGAAAAUCCAAAUCUGCCAGAAUCAGAUCACUACGACUAACCGUUCAGAAGAUAUCGGCAAAAAUAGAGAAAACUUUACAAAUUGAUUCAACUAAAUUUUUAUCAUUGACAAGCAAUUUUUUGGAGUUAUUUUCUUAUGAUUAAGUGUUUCUAACGUAGAAUGACCGGCGGAAUCUAAAUCUGCAAGAAUCGGAUCACUACGACUAACCUUUCAGAAGAUAUCGGGAAAAAUAUAGAAAACUUUACAAAUUGAUUCAACAAAAUUUUCAUCAUUGACAAGCAAUUUUUUGGAGUUAUUUUCUUAUGAUUAAGUGUUUCUAACGUAGAAUGACCGGCGGAAUCUAAAUCUGCAAGAAUCGGAUCACUACGACUAACCUUUCAGAAGAUAUCGGGAAAAAUAUAGAAAACUUUACAAAUUGAUUCAACAAAAUUUUCAUCAUUGACAAGCAAUUUUUUGGAGUUAUUUUCUUAUGAUUAAGUGUUUCUAACGUAGAAUGACCGGCGGAAUCUAAAUCUGCAAGAAUCGGAUCACUACGACUAACCUUUCAGAAGAUAUCGGGAAAAAUAUAGAAAACUUUACAAAUUGAUUCAACAAAAUUUUCAUCAUUGACAAGCAAUUUUUUGGAGUUAUUUUCUUAUGAUUAAGUGUAAGAUGAUGAAGAUGAUGGUUGUGGUGUUUCUUGUCGUUUCUCACGUAUGUUUUCGUUUAUAUACUGCAUUCGUUUUGGAUUAACAAUAAACGCACGUGGUACGUUGAUUUUAGAUAAAAUUUGUGAAAAAUUUUUCCAACCAGUCGGUUCAGCAGACAGUCUACUACUACUAGUACCACUUUUCAUAAGGUCAAUGAUUAUAAUUAAUUAUAUUUGAAUCAGGAAUUGUUUUACCGUCGUAAAUAACGUUACCAACUUCGUUCCAUGCAACACCAUUGCUUGUUAUAUAAUCAACUAAAACACUAGCCUUAGCUUGUAAAGUUUUCGGUAACGAUUUUAGAAAAUUUUUGUUAAGAUGAUCGGCUGCUAUUAACUUAUUAUUUUCAACAUCAACAUUUUCUUUUUCACCUGUUUCAAUCAUUGGUAUUGUUACAGGUUCACGAAAUCGAUUUAUCACUUUUAAAUAUCUUUGAAGAACUUGAUUGUACAACGUCCAUUUCUCGUUGUCGUCAAUGUGUUUCAGUUCUAUAAUUCUUCACAUUUCACGAUCCAAAUCAUUUAUGAUGUUUGGUUGAUUGCUGGUACCACUUUGCAUACGUUCAAAUACACCUGGAUCAACCAUUAUCAUUUUCUUAGCAUGCUCCAUUAUCGUUAUUUACGAAAUAAAUGACCCAAUACACCCGAUAUUAUUGGCGCUAACAAUAACGGUAAGAAGGCACCACCUUUUUGAACAAUCAACUUUUUCUUUUGCUGAACAGACAAUUUUCGAUUAACUAAAUCCCUCAACACUUUUUUAUGUUUUUUUAGUUUACUUUUUUGUACGAUUCAAUGGAACUUUACCCAACAAAGUAUUAUGAGCGCAUUCACAAAUACAAUGAACCAGAUUUUUGUCCGCUGUAUUUAAAAUUGAUUUACGAUAUUCAGGUGUUGUUUUAUGUAAGAAUUUUAAAAGAUCAGCGUUUCUUGCUAACGUUCGCGACAUCUCAAAUACAACUGAGAAAUGAAUAACACGUUUUUUAAAUUUAUACUUUUUUCAUACGUCUCUUAGGUAUAUAUGCAAAAGUAGGUGAUUCAUCGGGUAAAAUGUUUGUACGAAUACGAUAAUCAUCGGACGUAUCCUGUUUUAAAUCGAUUAACAAAUAUCCAUGCGGUUUCAUAGUCGCAUCCUUAUAAGCUUCUUGAAGAAAUUUUGUAUUUUCUGGAAAAAUCUGUCGGGCUAAAAAAUUGACUUGAGCCUUGUCACGGGGGUUUUUGAAAUAUAUAAUGUAGUUUGCAUUCAGUGAAAUGUCUCUCUGUCCUUUGCCUUGGUGGAACAGAUUUUGCGUAAUAUAAAAAACACUAAGAUUUCGAUGAUGGCUACCUUUUGUAAAUAUAUCCACAACACCACCAUUUGUUUCACGCAUUAAAUCAUCCAAAAUUAUUAACGUCGGCUUUAAACCAUCAAAUUCAGUCAUAUCAGGCAUACCUUGACGAUACUCGAUUCUUAAAUUACUAACAAUAUCAUUUUUUUCAUAUAACGGUUGCCAUUCAUCAUAAUACUAUAUCACACGAUCAAAACUUGUAUCACACAUUGAUUUCAAAUGAUUUAAGAACUGCGUUAUAAAAUGUGUUUUUCCACAACCUGAAGGGCAGUGACAAUAGCCGUGAACGGUGCUUUAAAACUAAAAAUGUUUCCGUACUUCAAUGUUUAUAUACAUUACGUAUAUAUAGAAGGUCUUCACGGAUCAAUUUAAGUACAUUUAUUUAUAUUUUUUUUAUUUAAAUUUCGUACCGAUGUUUGAAAAGCAUCCCAAACGAUAUAGCGACAAAAGGAUUAUAGGAUUUGCAGCGACAAUUAGUAACCUAGACAGUCGUCUGUCUGGCUGUUUUGAUGAAAGAAAAGAUGAUUCACCGAACCAUUAGAAAUCUUUCUCUCAAAUUUCAUCCCCUACCAACAUCACCACCACCACCACCACUACCACCUUCAAACCCUUUUUUCCUCAUUUUCAAAGCUGACUUUCGGCGACACAAGUACCUAUACAUUUUUACGUGCCAAGUGUUAAAUUGUGUGACAAAUGUUUGAUGGACAAUGUGUAAUCCUGUACUCCAGAGGGGAGUACCGUCUAACAUUUAGGCGGUUCACCACGUAUAGAGCGUUACAGGAGGAGAAUAUCCUCUGCAAGUGGUGCGCCAGGCUAGAAGAAAAAGUCUGGUACAAACAUAUGCACAUUUAUAAUGUAACACUCAAGUGUACGCGGUGUGAAACACCUAUAUUACCCCGGACACAUAUGGGGUGUCCUAGACGGAUACAUUUAGGGCGGGAAAAGGUACCCUAUAAUUCCCUUUUACGGAAAAUUGUGUUCCCGGAAUCGGACGAUGACCAGUCUGAAGAAGAAAGCGGCGUCGAGGAUGUAGAAUGAUUGUGUGGGCGAUUCUUAAAUAUAUGUUUAUUUUUAAUAACGUUUUUAUUGAACCUCUAAUAACAAGAUAAAGCUGAUGUGUGAUUAAUUUUCCGUUAAUUUGUAACUAAUUUUGAUAUAUUUUAAUUUUUUAUUGAAACCUAGGUGUAAUUCCCCGCUUAGCGACACAUUCAAAUUUACCGCUAAAAAAAAAGUGAUUUCGAAAUUGAACACUAGAUGGCGCAGAGAUCUGUCACAUUUAAAUUUCCCGCUGAAAAACUUAAACACCAGAGGGCGCCGAGAUCUGUCACAUUUAAAUUUCCCGCUAAAAUGUUUGAACACCAGAGGGCGCCAGAAAAAGUUGAUGAUCCAAUUAAUUCGUCAUUAAUUAAUUAUCGAAGGUCAAUUAAAAGAGAAAGUUUGAUAUCAAAUUUCAAUUAAAUUAAUCGGUCGUUAUCAAUUUAAUUGUCAUUAAUUAUCAAUUAAUAUGUCAUUAAUUCACUAAUUAAUUUUUAAAUGGGUCCCCCUUUCUACUUUUGGAGUUCACCAUUUCCGGUUCCGAUGUGGUUGGCUUGGGCGUCGCUGGUAUCGGUGAGGUCAAUUCCGCCGGAGGCGGAAUUCUGAUGAGCGGAACUCUUUUUGGUUUUCGGAUUUUCGUCCGAUCCCCGAUGGCAUCAAAAGUGCGCUUUGUAGGCACAGUUUUGUGAGGGAGUUUUGGCCUGGACCUCACUUUGAAAAUGGUUUGGUUCGUUUUGAGAAAAACGCUUUUUCACGCAAGGUGGAGCGCACAACUAGCACAAGUACAAGUCGCAAAGGGUUGUCGCUAAUCUGAACAGUGAAAUUGGCAUGGUUGGACGUAUUACGGUAAAUAAUGUCCGACUCAGAAACGACCCCCAGCGAUUGUAACAGCCCCCAAAUUCAAGAACUGAACAACUUGCGGCACCUCCUCAAAUUACAACGCGACAGGUACACCCAUCUCCAAAUACUAUACCAAGCUGUGGCCGAUUUUAUAUCCACUGCUGGUGCCUUGAACCCUGAACUUGCAACCAAAGUGGAAAAUAUUUUACAUGAGCAAAGUUGCCAGCAAGUUGAUGUGUUAGACAAUGAAUACACACAGUUACUAGGAUUACGAUCUUCAGGAAACAUGUCAGGCCUGAAGAUAACACGUUGGUGGUGUUGAAGAAAAAACUGGAGGAGCAACAGCAAAAGUAUUUAGAAAAUGAAUUAACUAAAGAGAAGAUUUUGGAAGAUAUUGCUAAACUACGACUGGAAAAAUUACCAAAAGUGUGUGAUGAAAAAAUAAAAGAAUGUCAAAUAAGGGCCCAAGUGGGCGAACUAAGAACGAAACUUGCGUGCGAGACUUCCAGAAUUGACGUAUUUAUGGAGAGAAGCAACUCGUUGAAAGCCUACAAGGAGCUGCUAAAGGAUAUAAAGGAGCAACAACUUGAAUGUGAGAGCGAGAUUAAACACUUGCAAAAGAUGAGGGAGAAGUACAAACAAGUGGCCUGCAAGCAGUUUGAUCAGAUUUUGAAGUCCUACGUGGAAUACAAAGCCGCGCUUUCAAGAAAGGCCCUCAACCCCAGUAUCAUCCUAAAGUCCGACACGCCAAUGUCGUAACCGAUCAGAGGAAAAUCCGAGGUCCUCAAAGUUUCUGUUAUUUCGUAUCCGAAGGGUUCCCCUACAGUCGAUUAGAGGAGGACUCCCUUCAUCAAAUGGUGUGACCUUCGGGAACCUCGUAAACGGCCAAGGACUGGACGCAGAUAAGUCCCAGAUAUCAGUUCUUCGCGAUUUUCAAUCUUUUCGUUAUAAUAUAUUAUUCGAAUUUCCUUUCUUAAAAAAAAAAUUAUUUCAAUUUUCAAAUUUUCCUUUUUAAAUUUCAAUUUUUAUGCAACUAUUAAUAAUUUUUUAUAACUUAUAAUUUCAAUUAAUGUGAGCGAGCGAAUUGGCCAAUUCUAACGUAAAGAUUCGUGUCAGUAGUUGAUUUAACCAUCAGGUCACAAGAGUAACUUUUAAUAUACGGAAUUUUAAUUGAUUAUUCAAUAGUUUUCUUAUCUCCUUCUCAGUUGGGAGCUUCGUUAUCGAUAACUGAGUGGCGCCCUUAAAAGGCUAGGUUAAAAGGAAUCUUGAACUCGCUCUCGGGGUGUCGAUCAUAAAACUGUCGGCCCGACCGGCUUAGGGUGCUUCAAAUUCUGUGGUUAAGCUGAUGUCACAACAAAGAAUGUAUUUGUGAUUUACAACAUUACCUACAUUGGUCUUACUUGAUAUUUGUAUGCCCAAAGAAGAUGUUCCCAAUUUGAACAGUUUUAUUUUAAAUUUGAAGUGUUUAUUUAAUGAAAAAGAAAAAACGUUCUAAAAUACUGGUAAAUCACGAUAAAAAGAAACUAAUUCAAGGCGUUCUCUGGAUUGUCAAUUUUUCGGAUUACUCAAUUAGUUUAAUAAAUAUAAUUUUAAUUUAAGAUUCGAUUAACAUAUAGUCGAAUUAAAAGAUUUGACUGUAGUUAGGAACGUAGGUGUUAUGCAAUGAAACAUGCGUAAAAAAAGAUUCAUAUAUUUUCAAAAAAAAAUCUAAAUACUUUUUUAACUAACAGAAAUUUCUAUAUUUCUAUCUUCCAUUGCCUUUGGAUCUAGCCAUUUUAUAAAAUGUCACUAAGCACAAACUCCACACAAUAGCACAGCGAACUGUUAAACAGUAAUUAAAAAUUACCAUAGUUUUGCACUUCUUAUAUUAGCAGAUGCUUCCUCCUACCACUUUAGGGAGAUUACAUUACAAUGUAGGGGGUUGGUGUUUUCUCUUUUGAAUAGCAAUAACUAUACUUUCCCAAGAAUGUAAAUUUUAUAAAAACGAAUAACAUAUAAUAACGAAUAACACUCUUAAAUACCUAUGGUCACUGGUAGAGUAGACAAUUAACAAAAAAAUCUUUAGGUCAAAGAACUCAAUUAUGCAAUUGCCAUUCAUCUUUUUUUACUUAAUUUUAAUUUUAUUUUUUAAUUACUAAAAAGUGUACUGUCAACAACAACAAGCAGAAAUGUCAGUUGUUAUUUACAAAAAUAAAAAAUUACGUUAUAAUUCAAAAACCAAUUACGUCAUUAAUGUUGCUAUACUGUCAUAAUCAUAAUAUAUAUAGCAUGCACACAACUGAGUCCUUUGAAAACUAAAACAUUCCUUUUCAGCAUAUUAUUUGUUAUAUUUAAAAAAAACAAAGUGUAAAUUAGGUUUUUAUUAAGAAUAACAGUGUACACUGGCGAGCACUUUUGACAUUUUACUGACAUAAUCGUGGGCAAUACUACUCUAACCUUUUUGACAAUGAAAUGACAAAUGUGUCCAAAAUUUUUUGCUCGCUAUUGUAGGUGUCAUUUUUUGACGAAACAAAGUCGUGCGAAUUUUUUUAAUUCUAUAAUUAUUAUCAUUAUUAUCAAUUUUUACAUUAAUUUGUACAGAACACAAUAGCUCCAAAGCGUUAUAGUUUAGGAAAUAGUCACGCAAUACGAAUUUACUGUUUUAAAUUAAAGUUAGUAAACAAAGCCUAAAGUUAGUUAGGGUUUUGUUAGGUGCUUCUAGAAGUGACUUUUGAUUUUUGAAAAAGAAAAACCAAAACCAAUUCAAUUUACGUUAACAAUUUCUGGGUAAUAGAAAAUUAGCCUGGUGUGUGUUCACAAAUAAAGUGCUUUCUAAAUACCAGCCUUAGAUAAAGAAAUUAUUAGAUAAACAAGUUACCUAUUAUAAUACCAAUUAUAAAUAACGUGAAACCCUUAAAUUAUUAUUAAGCGGAUAAUCCCUUUUCUGGUUACAUGGUUUAACUUUCUCUGGGUUGGUUCUUAAUCUCGACCAAAUUCCUUUUUCAACGGAAACAAAAGUCAUUAUUGUUUCGAUGAAUAAGACUAACAAGAAAGUGAGAUGUGACAAAUCUAAUCAUUUUUAGCAGGUACCUACUUUUGGGUCUGUUACUCAGACCUAGACCCUCCGGUCCCAUUGUAAAUCUUUCUGCGGAUUUGUCUAGUCAACUGCUAUAAAUCAUCGCCCAAGGAAUUUUGUGCUUCCAAUGAAUUAAAAUUUUCGCAAUAUUAAGCUUAUUUUUAAUAACAGAAAAAAAUUAAAAAUACCAAGGUGUUUAAAAUAACAAUCUCUAUCGCUUGGCCGGAGAGUUUUUUCAUUUUGAAGUCUUGGUGUCUUAAUACGUGUAUUAUUUCGAAAUCGUGUUUAUUUAAAUAGCCAUAAUUUAUUGAGCACUAGAUUUUUUAAAAUUUUCUAAUGGCCAUUUUGUAAAUAUCAUUUCUAAGAUACAUUGAGUUUUGAAACGAUGUUGAUAUCUUUUCAAAUAACUUAAUUACAGCCACAAUUCUUUUACAUUGAAAACGCCAUAAGACGAAUACGUUUAACCUAGCCUUAAGGCUCUAGACCCUCUGGGAGCUGGCGCAUACGUUUUACGUGUAAACUGUUUUUAGCCGCAAAUUUAGACUUGAAGAGUUUCUUGACAUUUGCAGUGUUUCUUUAUAAGUAAAUGUAAGUCGAAGAGUCAUUUUUGAUUGAAAUAAAUGCCUAGAUAUUUUUUUAUUAAAUAAAAUGUCUGUUUAUGAAGUUGAUACGAAUUUUUGAUAACGGUGCAUUGUAUUGAGAAUUUAAAAAAAACAUUUUAUAGGAAAUUUAAAAAUACAGACCUGAGAUAUUUUAGAUUUUUGUUAACUGUUCUUAAUUGUUAGAUAUAAUGCAAAAAUUAAAUUGUAAGUAGGCAACUUUUAAUGCAUCCUUCUUCGAAUGCGUAGCUAGCUGGAAGAAGAUUUAUGACGGGUUUAGGACGCACCGCUGGAGGUAACCACCAUUGGGGUGACCCACAAGAUAAUAAUUUUAUUGCAUUUGUUCAAGACAGAGAAAUGUAUCGGCACAAAUAGGAAUUUUAGCGAUUUCUCUAAUAGUGGUAUAAAAUUAAAGCACAUGAUUUCGGAAUUAACAUUUUUUAACAAAAUAAUUAGGUACCUAUAGAUUUGCAUUACGUUUUUUUUGUAGACACUGCUAUCAACGUAUCUUAUGAGAUUUUGAAAUACGAGUAAUCACGCUCGCUAUUUUUUUGAAUACUUUUAACAAUAAAAUUAUUCCUGUUUUAAAAAAAAUAUAAAAAAGAUGAUUAAAACUUUGGUUGUACUUAGCUUCGUUCUGCACAGGUUUUGUGAUAGAACUACUGAGCUCCCUCACCACGACAAGGUGUCAACCCACUGAGGAAGUUUUUUUUACUUUUAUUGUUCAUUCCGUUUUAGAACCCUUUCGUUGUUUUUUCCAAAAAUUACGCAUUAUUUGUUUUCGACUUUUUCUUUUUUUUUGAAAAACUUAGUUUACUAUUAUUACCCAUAAUUUUAAAUAUACAAAGAUUUCAACUAUUUACAAGUGAUAUAAUAAGAAAUUAGGAAAUACACUUACCAACCAGCAGUCGCAACAAAUAAUUAAAUAAAAAGAAAUAGAUAAAAUUGAUAUUCUGCAAAGUAACAAAUUAAAAACUACAAAUACCACUGUUUAAAAAUUACCACUUAUUACAAAACACUGUUGGGCAAGAAAGUGACCAGCACUCUGCAAAGACUCAAAGAGUAAAGAAGUUGUAGAACUAUAUGUUUUGAUUAUAUAUAAGUACCAACCACCACCCUAAACCCUCCACUAAAUACAAGUCUUAUGACUCAUGAGCUUAUGAAAAACUUUCUAAACUUUUUAAUAAACAUUUUUGUUUACAUGUAAUUUCAGUUUCAGGUACCCGAUCUUUAGCAAUGUUUACUUAUAUUUUAAAGAAAUACACAAAAUUUAUAUAACGUAAGAGUAACGCAGCUAUAUCUUCGCAAGCUAGUUAUAGAAAAAUUGUAUAAAUUUAAUAAAAAAACGAGAAAUAAUUCCUAAAUUCUAAAAUAAUACAUAAUUAUAAAAGUAUCAUUUAUUUUACUAGGCGUAACGUAAACAAAUUAUAUCCCUAAGACUGGAUCUUACAAUCUCUCGAUACGUUAUUUGUACUAUAAUUAUUACUGGGUAUAGUUACAAUAAAUUUUUACAACAAUGUAUUUUUCAGAAUUUAUUACCUGGAUAAAAUUAUCAGACGAAAAAGCGGGUUUAAAGAAGUUUUCAUCAUUUUAAUGAGAUAUUCCUAGUAACUUUUUUAAAGUUAAACUGUUUUCUGAAAGAACAAUAAUGUUUCACCAAUUAAUUUUUUUAUUUUAUAUUUUUUCAAUGCAAGUGAUCCAAUUAGAAAUGCACAUGACACAUAAUAUAGCGAACAGAAUUCGGUUAAUUAAAACAUAAAACCCAAUAAAUAAAUGGUGUAAUGGUGUAUUAUUUUUUACAAAACUAUGCUAGUAUUUUAUUAUUCUUUAGUAUCAAAUUUUUUUAACAAAAUAAAAAACGUAUUUUUCACUGUAUGUUGCUUGAAUCUCUGAAAUAAGAGAAACUAUCGUGGGCGAUAGUGGAAUUCAGUUUGUUUACAUUAUUUGCAUUUUAUGAGAAGGGACAAGACACCCCGAGGCGAAGGUCGGAUGCCUAUCCGAUGAUUGACAACUGUCACUGAAAACAGGUCUAAAAAAAGUAUGCAACUUGUAGUACACCAAUUCUCAACAAUCGCUUCGGUACCCUGAAGCGAUUCUGAAUUCUGGGAAUACCCGAAGGUGUUAUAAUCAUAACAAACACGCGUUAUUUAAGUUAUUAUUCAAAGAUUAUUUAAAAAUUGAUACCUAUUUGGUGAUAUAAACAAUAAACAAAAACAUACAAGUAUAAAAAUUACAAUUUUAAUAAAAAAAAACAUCAAAAUUAAGCAACAUAUAGGCUGACCCAGGGAUUGGAAAACUCCGUUUUUGACUCUUAAAUAAUUGAGAAAUAAAUAGUAAAAAUUACUUCCAAAUAUACAGAGUGUUUCCGAAAUGAGCUACAAUAUAAACUUAUGUUUUUUUUUAAAUGAAACCCUAAAUUUUGGUGCAUUUGCAUUAAUAAUUUUUUAACUUUAAUAAUAAUUUUGAUCUAAACUUGCAUUGGUCGAUUCUGUUUAGUUUUUAAAAUAAUUUAUUUUUUUUGACGAAAACACGUUAUUUUUAAAUGUAUUUCACAAAAACUAAUAAUCCUAGAAAAUUUAGACUUUCACCAUUUUAAAUGUUAAAGUUUAAUUUUUGGCAAAACUUUGAAAAAUGGGUGAGCUCUCUUGAAAAAAAAUCUGCGUUCAUAUAUAUUAUGAUCUUUUGGUCUGUUUCAGCGAAAUUACGCAAUUACUAUAAAAAAAAUACUUUCGAAAAAUGUAACAGAAACCUAAAUCAUAGAAGACAAAAACAGUGACGCUAAAACUAUGGAAUAAUUCUAUUAAAACUAUAAUUUAUUUUGUUGUGGAUAAAAUGCUCGAACAGAUAUUUUUUAAAAGUAAGCCAUUCCCAAUAUUAUUAUUUCGAUUUUUUUUAAAUAAAAACCCCUAAUUUUUUUAGACGCAUCCAUGUAGUAUCUGAUGUAUCAUGGCUCAAAAAAUUAAAUGCUACAUCAUAAUAUUUCCACAAUAAAAAUAUAAAAAAAAUAUUUAACAAAAAAAAUACAAUUUUUACAUAGCCAUCCUCCAACCUCUUCACAAUGAUAAUCAUGUAAACAAAAUUUUCUUGUACUUCAGUCCAGAAAAGUUUGUAAUAAUGUACAUUUAUAAACAACUUCCGGACUAAUAUUUUUUGAAUCUUUUAAAUUGAUUGUCAAUUAAGAGAAAAACUAAAGGAUUGGUUGCACUUUUGCAUCAAACAAAUAUCAAACUAUUUUGACUACAAAAAAUUCUUAAGAAACAUUAGGCUAAUAUGUUUCAAUUUAUUCCCACUUUCUUGUGAUACUACUAACGAACAUAAUGACCAAAUGUAAUAAUUUCUGCUUGUUAAGUAACUUUUAUUUUAUUUUAAUUUAAAUUCAGAUAUCCAUAAGAAUAACAUUAAAGUUAUUAUUAGCUGAAAAUUUUAUUUAAUGUUUAAGGUUAAAUAUAUUUUGAGUAAUUAGUAAAAGAUGGCUUCAUUUUUUAAAUUGUAUGUCCUUUCACUAUGAACUUCUUUCUUUUCAGUGGUGAAGAUCCUACUUUUCUAGGAUUCCUAGUUUUUAUAAAAUAUUUUUUUAAAGCGUGUAAAACAUCAGUGUUCCAAAAAUGCAAAAAAUAGGGUGUUCCAUUUAAAAAAAGUAUUGUAGCUAAUUUCGAAAACAGCCUGUAUCUGCUCUUGAGAAUAAUUUUAAGUGAAUCAGGGGGUCAGUAUCUUCCAGUUUUUCUAAAAAACAAGAUUAAUAUUUAAUUUUUAUAUUGUGGCACAUCCAAGUAACAAUUUGGAUGCUGUUUAAAAACCACCUACGGUUUUGUAAAAGUUUUAUGAAGGUAGUUUGUAGUUAAGUUGCUGUAAAAUAAUCUUGUCUACAGGUAUUGUCAGCCAAUUCUUCUCAUCAAGGAAUAUUAAAAUCAUAAAUUCUUAAGAUAGUUUAACAAAAGUUUUAUAACAUUCUUAUAAUUUCCUUGUAGUCAUGUUUAAAACUUUUUACUUCAGGACAAUUUUAUUUGGUCAAUAGAGGUAAUAAAACCAUAAUUACUUCUUAAGUGUUUAUUUAAUCAAAAUACAGGGUGCUCAAUAACUGGCGCACCAACUCAGUGGUACGUUGUUGAGAAGCAUGUGUAGAUCACAGGAAAAAUCUUGAAAAAAUUCCUAAAGUCAUAUUUUAAAAAAAUCUGGAGCUACAAACUUAUUUUGUUAACUUUUUCAGUUUUCAUUAUUUUUUAAUGUUUUUAUGUUUCACACUAAGUAAUCGUUUCCCAACACAACGAUGAAUAACUAUUUUUAAAUUUCCCAUCAGACUUUAGCAGUUUUUUUAAUUUAAAAAAAUUAUAAUUUAUCAAAAAAAUCACAGUUUGUAGAUGUGCCAACACUGGAAAUUAUUUCCUAGGAAACCGUUUCAAAAAUAAUUUAUUUUUAUUGUUGAUAAAAUUCUUUUGCGAUCACGACUGUUAGACAACGUUGCCACAUAUCAUUUAUUUAAAUUUCGUUAUUUAUCAAUAACUUUAAUGCAAAGAUUUUUUUUACUAUAUUUACCUUUUUAUGUGAGCAACUCUUUACCACACUCCAUUGAGUUGGUGCGCCGGUUUUUGAGCACCCGGUAUAAAUCAAACAGUUACCUUUAAAAUUAAAACUUAAACCAGCUCUGCUUUGAACACAGUUAAAAUUUCUGACGGGAAACAUUUAACCAGACUUAUAAUUUAUAAUAGAAUCAUCUUAAAACUAAGUUGUUUUUUAAAGGUUCUGUCUAGAAGUUUUUUUUAUCUGAAUAAAUAAUAUGUCUUAUAGCGGUUUUUAUAAAAAUUAUUUACACUUAGCUAAAACUUAUUUACUUACUUUUAUUGAGAGUUAAUUUUCUUCUAAAUAAUUUUACACUGAUCAUGUAGUUUUAUGAAUUCAGCAGACAUAUUUUACUGCUAUUUGACUUAAAAUUGAAAAAUAUGCACUUUUUAAACAUUAAAGAAAUGGUAGUAAUUUUUGUUUUUUGCUUUUGUCAGCAGUAAAACUUAGGAUAUCACUCAAAAAAUCUACUAGAAUCAAUUUAAAGAAUGAACGCACAUUUUUUUGCGUUUAACGAACAAACCCUUCCUACGAUUUUAAUGAAAACACAAAUCAACAUUAAGCAACACCUAGUAAGUAUUUUAAAGAAAAAAUAACUCGUGGUUAUCAAAUUUGAAAAAAAAUCGACUUGGCAACACAAAAAAACUCACCAAAUUUGAUGUUAUGGUUUGUCUGAAGCAGCAUUGGUAAUUUUUUACUUUAACUACUUCUGGAUUUUCAAGCUGAAACUUACGCCAAACUAUUCCUCUGAGUGCCCUGAUGACCGUACACUAUGAAUUUUCUUGUGCAAAUUGAAAAUAACAUUAGAAAAAUAAUUUUUAUUUUCACUCACUUUUCACUUGAAUCGCCAUUUUUGUUGAUUUUAAGGGAUACAACGUUUGCCACCACGGUGUGCAUGCGUUGCGUGUGCUUAUUUCUGAUUGGUUGUUAUUGUUUAGCUUCAACAGGUAAGAAUCGCACCUGCGUGUUUGUUAUGAUUAUAACACCUUCGGGUAUUCCCAGAAUGAAUUUAAAUGACGUAUUAUACCUUUUUCAUUAAAAAGUAGGUGUAUUUUUUCAUAUUUUGCAAUUUGAAUUUAUGUCACUGUGCUCUGAUUGACGGAAGUGGGGAUGCAUUCCCGCAUUUCCCUUCAUGCAAUUUACCAACAACACCGUGGUGUAUAUUUCCUUUUAGUUAGCUGGGGCGCAGCCCCAGCCUCCGGCCACGAAUUGUACGGCGCCCUUUCUCUAUAAAAUACACUAUUCCACGUGUCGAGUUCCACGGUUUCGAGUUUAAUUGUUCGUGGGGUAUGUUUAUUUUUAGUUCGCUGGGGCGAAGCCCCAGCCUGUACCCUAAGACCUGUACGCGCUGUAGCUCCAUAAAAAUCACUAUUCCACAUUUCGAGUUCAACAUUUUCGAGUUUAAUCGUCCGUGGGGUAUGUUUAUUUUUAGUAUUUUUACUUUAGCUACUUCUGGAUUUUUGAAAAUUUUUUUUUUGCAUUUUGCUUUAAAAAGCCUCUAGAUCAAAGAUAUGAACAUGAAAGUUUGUGCAAAUGCCCCGUUUUCGAAAAAUUCGGCUUUGAAUGACCUUGAUCUAGACUUUUUAAAUUUUAUUAACACUCUAAUAAAUGGUAUUAACCGUAAAUGUAACUAUAAAUGAGGCAAGGCGCCUACAGAUGAUAGCCCGGAGGCUGGGGCUUUGCCCCAGCGACCUAAAAAUAAAUUUAGUUGAAUCAAUUUGUAAAGUUUUCUCUAUUUUUGCCGAUAUCUUCUGAACGGUUAGUCGUAGCGAUCUGAUUCUUGCAGAUCUGGAUUCCGCCGGUCAUUCUACGUUAGAAACACUUAAUCAUAAGAAAAUAGCUCCAAAAAAUUGCUUGUCAAUGAUGAAAAUUUAGUUGAAUAAAUUUGUAAAGUUUUCUCUAUUUUUGCCGAUAUCUUCUGAACGGUUAGUCGUAGCGAUCUGAUUCUUGCAGAUCUGGAUUCCGCCGGUCAUUCUACGUUAGAAACACUUAAUCAUAAGAAAAUAACUCCAAAAAAUUGCUUGUCAAUGAUGAAAAUUUAGUUGAAUAAAUUUGUAAAGUUUUCUCUAUUUUUGCCGAUAUCUUCUGAACGGUUAGUCGUAGCGAUCAGAUUCUUGCAGAUCUGGAUUCCGCCGGUCAUUCUACGUUAGAAACACUUAAUCAUAAGAAAAUAACUCCAAAAAAUUGCUUGUCAAUGAUGAAAAUUUAGUUGAAUAAAUUUGUAAAGUUUUCUCUAUUUUUCCCGAUAUCUUCUGAACGGUUAGUCGUAGCGUUCAGAUUUUUGCAGAUUUGGAUUCCGCCGGUCAUUCUACGUUAGAAACACUUAAUCGUAAGAAAAUAACUCCAAAAAAUUGCUUGUCAAUGUUGAAAAUUUAGUUGAAUCAAUUUGUAAAGUUUUCUAUAUUUUUGCCGAUAUCUUCUGAACGGUUAGUCGUAGCGUUCAGAUUUUUGCAGAUUUGGAUUCCGCCGGUCAUUCUACGUUAGAAACACUUAAUCAUAAAAAAAUAACUUCAAAAAAUUGCUUGUCAAUGUUGAAAAUUUAGUUGAAUCAAUUUGUAAAGUUUUCUCUAUUUUUGCCGAUAUCUUCUGAACGGUUAGCCGUAGCGUUCAGAUUCUUGCAGUUUUGGAUUCCGCCGGUCAUUCUACGUUAGAAACACUUAAUCGUAAGAAAAUAACUCCAAAAAAUUGCUUGUCAAUGUUGAAAAUUUAGUUGAAUCAAUUUGUAAAGUUUUCUAUAUUUUUGCCGAUAUCUUCUGAACGGUUAGUCGUAGCGUUCAGAUUUUUGCAGAUUUGGAUUCCGCCGGUCAUUCUACGUUAGAAACACUUAAUCAUAAGAAGAUAACUCCAAAAAAUUGCUUGUCAAUGUUGAAAAUUUAGUUGAAUCAAUUUGUAAAGUUUUCUCUAUUUUUGCCGAUAUCUUCUGAACGGUUAGCCGUAGCGUUCAGAUUCUUGCAGUUUUGGAUUCCGCCGGUCAUUCUACGUUAGAAACACUUAAUCGUAAGAAAAUAACUCCAAAAAAUUGCUUGUCAAUGUUGAAAAUUUAGUUGAAUCAAUUUGUAAAGUUUUCUCUAUUUUUGCCGAUAUCUUCUGAACGGUUAGCCGUAGCGUUCAGAUUCUUGCAGUUUUGGAUUCCGCCGGUCAUUCUACGUUAGAAACACUUAAUCGUAAGAAAAUAACUCCAAAAAAUUGCUUGUCAAUGUUGAAAAUUUAGUUGAAUCAAUUUGUAAAGUUUUCUAUAUUUUUGCCGAUAUCUUCUGAACGGUUAGUCGUAGCGUUCAGAUUCUUGCAGUUUUGGAUUCCGCCGGUCAUUCUACGUUAGAAACACUUAAUCAUAAGAAAAUAACUCCAAAAAAUUGCUUCUCAAUGAUGAAAAUUUAGUUGAAUAAAUUUGUAAAGUUUUCUCUAUUUUUGCCGAUAUCUUCUGAACGGUUAGUCGUAGCGUUCAGAUUCUUGCAGUUUUGGAUUCCGCCGGUCAUUCUACGUUAGAAACACUUAAUCGUAAGAAAAUAACUCCAAAAAAUUGCUUGUCAAUGUUGAAAAUUUAGUUGAAAACCAGCUGAAGUUACAAACGGAACAGAUGAAAAAAAAAUUACAAAACGCAAUAAAGCAGAACCUGUAAGCGUUGAAAAUGUCGAGGAAACUGUUGCACCUAAAGCAUGGGAAAACAAGGCUACAUCUUCCAAGAAGGAAAAUACUAAAGUACCACCUGCUGAACCAGCUGAAGUUACAAACGGAACAGAUGAAAAAAAAAUUACAAAACGCAAUAAAGCAGAAGUGAGUAUAUUGCCACCAAGUUUUAAUUGUUUUACAAAUUAAGAUCUGUUCUAGCCCGUAAGUGCUGAAAGUAAGGAGGAACCUAAGGCAGAGAAAACUAAGGGUAAAACUGCCAAGAAGGCAGACAGUGGAAAUAAAGAAGAAACCCAAGUGGAAGAAGCGAAAAAACCUCAAACACGCACAGGUCUUGCUACUAAGAGAGAGUUUGUACAAAGUACAAAGGGGCCUAAAAAUUCGACAGU